AGAGUUUGAUCCUGGCUCAGGACGAACGCUGGCGGCGUGCCUAACACAUGCAAGUCGAACGGAGUUGAAAGGAGCUUGCUUUUUUCAACUCAGUGGCGGACGGGUGAGUAACGCGUGAGUAACCUGCCUUUCAGAGGGGGAUAACGUUCUGAAAAGAACGCUAAUACCGCAUAAGAUUGUAGCUUCGCAUGGAGCAGCAAUCAAAGGAGCAAUCCGCUGAAAGAUGGACUCGCGUCCGAUUAGAUAGUUGGCGGGGUAACGGCCCACCAAGUCGACGAUCGGUAGCCGGACUGAGAGGUUGAUCGGCCACAUUGGGACUGAGACACGGCCCAGACUCCUACGGGAGGCAGCAGUGAGGGAUAUUGGGCAAUGGGGGAAACCCUGACCCAGCAACGCCGCGUGAGGGAUGACGGUUUUCGGAUUGUAAACCUCUGUCCUCUGUGAAGAUAGUGACGGUAGCAGAGGAGGAAGCUCCGGCUAACUACGUGCCAGCAGCCGCGGUAAUACGUAGGGAGCAAGCGUUGUCCGGAUUUACUGGGUGUAAAGGGUGCGUAGGCGGAUUGGCAAGUCAGAAGUGAAAUCCAUGGGCUUAACCCAUGAACUGCUUUUGAAACUGUUAGUCUUGAGUGAAGUAGAGGUAGGCGGAAUUCCCGGUGUAGCGGUGAAAUGCGUAGAGAUCGGGAGGAACACCAGUGGCGAAGGCGGCCUACUGGGCUUUAACUGACGCUGAGGCACGAAAGUGUGGGUAGCAAGCAGGAUUAGAUACCCUGGUAGUCCACACUGUAAACGAUGAU
rnacentral:rRNA from 1 species